CAGCAGCCGCGGGAAUACGAAGGGUGCAAGCGUUACUCGGAAUUACUGGGCGUAAAGCGUGCGUAGGUGGUGGUUUAAGUCCGUUGUGAAAGCCCUGGGCUCAACCUGGGAAUUGCAGUGGAUACUGGGUCACUAGAGUGUGGUAGAGGAUAGUGGAAUUUCCGGUGUAGCAGUGAAAUGCGUAGAGAUCGGAAGGAACAUCUGUGGCGAAGGCGACUAUCUGGGCCAACACUGACACUGAGGCACGAAAGCGUGGGGAGCAAACAGGAUUAGAUACCCCAGUAGUCCCUGUCUCUUAUAA
rnacentral:rRNA from 1 species